AACGAACGCUGGCGGCAUGCCUAACACAUGCAAGUCGAACGAGACCUUCGGGUCUAGUUGCGCACGGGUGCGUAACGCGUGGGAACCUGCCCUUAGGUUCGGAAUAACUCCCCGAAAGGGGUGCUAAUACCGGAUAAUGUCUUCGGACCAAAGAUUUAUCGCCUUUGGAUGGGCCCGCGUUGGAUUAGCUAGUUGGUAGGGUAAAAGCCUACCAAGGCGACGAUCCAUAGCUGGUCUGAGAGGAUGAUCAGCCACACUGGGACUGAGACACGGCCCAGACUCCUACGGGAGGCAGCAGUGGGGAAUAUUGGACAAUGGGCGAAAGCCUGAUCCAGCAAGGCCGCGUGAGUGAUGAAGGCCUUAGGGUUGUAAAGCUCUUUUACCCGGGAUGAUAAUGACAGUACCGGGAGAAUAAGCUCCGGCUAACUCCGUG
rnacentral:rRNA from 1 species